rnacentral:lncRNA from 1 species
UGUCCCAUGUGGUCGACUCACCCAAAUUAAUUUCGUAUUAAUUAAAACAUUUGUUAAAUAAAGUAAUCAGGUUUUGGAAAUUAAAGAAAAUAUGUUUUCGCAUGGCUAAGUUGUAUAUGGUUUUUUUUUUUUUUUUUUUUUUUUAAUGAAGAGGUUCUGGGCUAAAGCCCAUAUAUGUCCGCAACCAAAACAUAUUAUAUGAUUUCGUCCCAAACGCUAUUCGAACCGGCGAUCUCUAAAGUUUUACCAGAGAUAUUUUGAUUUCUUUUAUCCAAUUAAUGUCCAAUUUUAGUGUUUUUCAACUUUCUAAUUUCUCACCUAAGAUAAAACAUUUUAUUAUGUAAAUUAUUAACGACAAAAAAAAGCCAAUUGGCAAUGAGUGGAUUGGCCCUAACCCUUUAUAUAUUACUUAAGUCCCCUCACAUCUUCCGAUAUGGGAUCUUUUCUCCACACGCCCCCUCGAGAUAAUGGCUCUUUUAGCCAUUAAUCUCGACAGAAUCCAUCACGCCCCCUCGAGAUAAUGCUCUUCUAGCUAUCUCGAUGGAAUUGGGCCUUCUUUUGGGCCAUCAAUUAAUGGGGUGAUCGGGCCUCUAUCCGGGCCGGAUUAAUUAAUGGGUCAGCGUGUGUUCGGGCUCUGAUACCAUGUUAAAUUAGGAUUUGUUAUGGGCUUCCAACUCAAAACCAAUUGGCAAUGAGUGGAUUGGCCCUAACCCUUUAUAUAUUACUUAAGUGCCCUCACAUCUUCCGAUGUGGGAUCUUUUCUCCACACAAACAAAUUAAACACACAACCAUAACGUUUGAUAUGAAAUAUGAGCAUAAAUGAAAAAAAAAAAAAAACAUGUACAUAAUAAACAUGUCCAAUACUGACUAUGACCUUUUAAUGGUUCCUACUUACUACAUAAACAUGUCUUAGACUGAUAAUGACCUUUUAAUCCACAAAAGCAUAGUCUGGUUCUUAGCUUUGUCCAGC